GGGGAUUUAGCUCAGUGGUAGAGUGCAUGCCUAGCAAGCACAAGGCCCUGGGUUCAGUCCCCAGCUCCG
rnacentral:tRNA from 1 species